rnacentral:rRNA from 1 species
CAGUCGCCGCGGGAAUACGUAGGUGGCAAGCGUUGUCCGGAAUUAUUGGGCGUAAAGCGCGCGCAGGUGGUUUAAUAAGUCUGAUGUGAAAGCCCACGGCCCAACCGUGGAGGGUCAUUGGAAACUGUUAAACUUGAGUGCAGGAGAGAAAAGUGGAAUUCCUAGUGUAGCGGUGAAAUGCGUAGAGAUUAGGAGGAACACCAGUGGCGAAGGCGGCUCUCUGGCUUGUAACUGACGCUGAGGCUCGAAAGCGUGGGGAGCAAACAGGAUUAGAUACCCCAGUAGUCCCUGUCUCUUAUAC